GACGAACGCUGGCGGCGUGCUUAACACAUGCAAGUCGAACGGAAAGGCCCUGCUUUUGUGGGGUGCUCGAGUGGCGAACGGGUGAGUAACACGUGAGUAACCUGCCCUUUACUUUGUGAUAACUUCAGGAAACUGGGGCUAAUACCUGAUAGGAUCUCCUGCUGCAUGGUGGGGGUUGGAAAGUUUCGGCGGUUGGGUAUGGACUCGCGGCUUAUCAGCUUGUUGGUGGGGUAGUGGCUUACCAAGGCUUUGACGGGUAGCCGGCCUGAGAGGGUGACCGGGCAAAUUGGGACUGAGAUACGGACCAGACUGCAACGGGAGGCAGCAGUGGGGAAUAUUGCACAAUGGGCGGAAGCCUGAUGCAGCAACGCCGCGUGCGGGAUGACGGCCUUCGGGUUGUAAACCGAUUUCGCCUGUGACGAAGCGUGAGUGACGGUAAUGGGUAAAGAAGCACCGGCUAACUACGUG
rnacentral:rRNA from 1 species